rnacentral:rRNA from 1 species
UACAGAGGUCUCAAGCGUUUGUUCGGAUUCAUUGGGCGUAAAGGGUGCGUAGGUGGCGUGGUAAGUCUGGUGUGAAAAUCCCCGGGGGCUCAACCCCCGGAACUGCACUGGAUACUGCCAUGCUUGAGUACUGGAGAGGAGAUUGGAAUUUACGGUGUAGCAGUGAAAUGCGUAGAUAUCGUAAGGAAGACCAGUGGCGAAGGCGAAUCUCUGGACAGUUACUGACACUGAGGCACGAAGGCCAGGGGAGCAAACGGG